AUCGUUCAUCCCUUCGGGGACGCAAGUAAGUCGCGGAACGGAGCGUUCAUCCCAUGUUUGAAUUCUUACUCUACUCUGGUAUGAUGUGUGCUGAUGCUGAUGCCUUAGUGCUCAGGAUCAAAGCAAACAGGGCAGAGAUGCCCCCAGCGAUCGUGCUGGAGUUAGUAGAGACCGUAAAGGAAUCUGUGCCUGAGUGUGAAUUUGACUGGGACGCAAACGACUGAAGGAACGGGAA
rnacentral:ncRNA from 16 species